UACGUAGGAGGCGAGCGUUGUCCGGAAUUACUGGGUGUAAAGCGCGCGUAGGUGGCAGGCCAAGUCUGUGGUGAAAGCGCCCGGCUCAACUGGGCAUGGUCCAUGGAAACUGGUCAGCUGGAGGACGGUAGAGGCGAGUGGAAUUCCCGGUGUAGUGGUGAAAUGCGUAGAGAUCGGGAGGAACACCAGUGGCGAAGGCGGCUCGCUGGGCCGCACCUGACGCUGAGACGCGAAAGCUAGGGGAGCGAACAGG
rnacentral:rRNA from 1 species